GACGAACGCUGGCGGCGUGCUUAACACAUGCAAGUCGAACGGAAAGGCCCUGCUUGCAGGGUACUCGAGUGGCGAACGGGUGAGUAACACGUGGGUGAUCUGCCCUGCACUUCGGGAUAAGCUUGGGAAACUGGGUCUAAUACCGGAUAGGAGCCAUCUUUAGUGUGGUGGUUGGAAAGUUUUUUCGGUGUAGGAUGAGCUCGCGGCCUAUCAGCUUGUUGGUGGGGUAAUGGCCUACCAAGGCGGCGACGGGUAGCCGGCCUGAGAGGGUGUACGGCCACCUUGGGCCUGGGAUACGGCCCAGACUCCUACGGGGGGGAGCAGGGGGGAAUAUUGCACAAUGGGCGCAAGCCGGAGGCAGGGACGCCGGGUGGGGGAUGAAGGCCUUCGGGUUGUAAACCCCUUUCGCUGGGGACGAAGCUUUUUGGGACGGUACCUAGAAAAGAAGCCCCGGCAAACUACGG
rnacentral:rRNA from 1 species